UACGUAGGGGGCAAGCGUUGUCCGGAUUUAUUGGGCGUAAAGAGCGUGUAGGCGGUUCGGUAGGUCCGUUGUGAAAAACUCGAGCUCAACCUCGAGACGCCGAUGGAAACCCCCGAACUAGAGUCCGGAAGAGGAGAAUGGAAUUCCUGGUGUAGCGGUGAAAUGCGCAGAUAUCAGGAGAACACCCGGUGGCAAGGCGGGUC
rnacentral:rRNA from 1 species